GCAUUAGUGGUUCAGUGGUACAAUAUUCAUCUUCCAUGAGAGAGACCUGGGUUUGAUUCCCAGCCAAUGCA
rnacentral:tRNA from 1 species